rnacentral:rRNA from 1 species
GACGAACGCUGUCGGCGGGCUUAACACAUGCAAGUCGAACGGAAAGGCCCUGCUUUUGUGGGGUGCUCGAGUGGCGAACGGGUGAGUAACACGUGAGUAACCUGCCCUUGACUUUGGGAUAACUUCAGGAAACUGGGGCUAAUACCGGAUAGGAGCUCCUGCUGCAUGGUGGGGGUUGGAAAGUUUCGGCGGUUGGGGAUGGACUCGCGGCUUAUCAGCUUGUUGGUGGGGUAGUGGCUUACCAAGGCUUUGACGGGUAGCCGGCCUGAGAGGGUGACCGGCCACAUUGGGACUGAGAUACGGCCCAGACUCCUACGGGAGGCAGCAGUGGGGAAUAUUGCACAAUGGGCGGAAGCCUGAUGCAGCAACGCCGCGUGCGGGAUGACGGCCUUCGGGUUGUAAACCGCUUUCGCCUGUGACGAAGCGUGAGUGACGGUAAUGGGUAAAGAAGCACCGGCUAACUACGUGCCAGCAGCCGCGGUGAUACGUAGGGUGCGAGCGUUGUCCGGAUUUAUUGGGCGUAAAGGGCUCGUAGGUGGUUGAUCGCGUCGGAAGUGUAAUCUUGGGGCUUAACCCUGAGCGUGCUUUCGAUACGGGUUGACUUGAGGAAGGUAGGGGAGAAUGGAAUUCCUGGUGGAGCGGUGGAAUGCGCAGAUAUCAGGAGGAACACCAGUGGCGAAGGCGGUUCUCUGGGCCUUUCCUGACGCUGAGGAGCGAAAGCGUGGGGAGCGAACAGGCUUAGAUACCCUGGUAGUCCACGCUGUAAACGGUGGGUACUAGGUGUGGGGUCCAUUCCACGGGUUCCGUGCCGUAGCUAACGCUUUAAGUACCCCGCCUGGGGAGUACGGCCGCAAGGCUAAAACUCAAAGGAAUUGACGGGGCCCCGCACAAGCGGCGGAGCAUGCGGAUUAAUUCGAUGCAACGCGUAGAACCUUACCUGGGUUUGACAUGGAUCGGGAGUGCUCAGAGAUGGGUGUGCCUCUUUUGGGGUCGGUUCACAGGUGGUGCAUGCCUGUCGUCAGCUCGUGUCGUGAGAUGUUGGGUUAAGUCCCGCAACGAGCGCAACCCUUGUUCACUGUUGCCAGCACGUUAUGGUGGGGACUCAGUGGAGACCGCCGGGGUCAACUCGGAGGAAGGUGGGGAUGACGUCAAGUCCUCAUGCCCCUUAUGUCCAGGGCUUCACGCAUGCUACAAUGGCUGGUACAGAGAGUGGCGAGCCUGUGAGGGUGAGCGAAUCUCGGAAAGCCGGUCUCAGUUCGAAUUGGGGUCUGCAACUCGACCUCAUGAAGUCGGAGUCGCUAGUAAUCGAAGAUCAGCAACGCUGCGGUGAAUACGUUCCCGGGGCC